rnacentral:rRNA from 1 species
CCCUUAGAUGUUCUGGGCCGCACGCGCGCUACACUGACGAAGUCAGCGAGCAUGUCCUACGCCGACAGGUGCGGGGAAUCUUGUCAAACUUCGUCGUGAUGGGGAUUGAUUAUUGAAAUUCUUGAUCAUCAACGAGGAAUUCCUAGUAAGCGCAAGUCAGCAGCUUGCGUUGAUUACGUCCCUGCCCUUUGUACACACCGCCAGUCGCUACUACCGAUUGAAUGGUUUAGUGAGAUCUUCGGAUUGGCGCCACUGCGGCUCAGCAAUGGGCUCGGUGGAUGCCGAAAAGUUGAUCAAACUUGAUCAUUUAGAGGAAGUAAAAGUCGUAACA